GGGGAAUAUUGGACAAUGGGCGCAAGCCUGAUCCAGCCAUGCCGCGUGGGUGAAGAAGGCCUUCGGGUUGUAAAGCCCUUUUGUUGGGAAAGAAAACUUUCCGGUCAAUACCCGGAGAGAAUGACGGUACCCAAAGAAUAAGCACCGGCUAACUUCGUGCCAGCAGCCGCGGUAAUACGAAGGGUGCAAGCGUUACUCGGAAUUACUGGGCGUAAAGCGUGCGUAGGUGGUUUGUUAAGUCUGAUGUGAAAGCCCUGGGCUCAACCUGGGAAUUGCAUUGGAAACUGGCAGGCUAGAGUACGGUAGAGGGUAGUGGAAUUCCUGGUGUAGCAGUGAAAUGCGUAGAGAUCAGGAGGAACAUCCGUGGCGAAGGCGACUACCUGGACCAGUACUGACACUGAGGCACGAAAGCGUGGGGAGCAAAC
rnacentral:rRNA from 1 species